GGCUUAGUAGGAACUGUCCUGUCUGAACUUCUUUGGCUUUGGGGAUGCUUCCUUACUUCAUCAUUGAUGGCUACUUUAUCUUUGAGCUUAACUAUUCCCUUGACAAUGCUUGUGGACAUCUGGCUCAAGGGCAUCAAGUAUUCACUGCUAAUUUAUAUUGGUGCAUUUCCCAUGAUGACAUCUUUUAUUGCUGUCUCACUUCUCACACAUUAUGAAAGCUGGGACCCAUUGAUGGAUGGAAUGAAAUAUCUUCAUAGAAAGUGUUGGAGAAGAAACCACAUGUACAGCUUCUGUCUUCUGAUAUUCAUCCAAAGCGAUGGAGAUGUCCUCAUGCAAGAGACUGAGGGCCUCACUUGUGGGUAAGCCAUCAGCACUGCAGGCCAUUUCCUUCAAAACAAAAGGAAAUAUUCUACAACAACAACA